rnacentral:rRNA from 1 species
GUGCCAGCAGCCGCGGUAAUACGGAGGGUGCGAGCGUUGUCCGGAAUCACUGGGCGUAAAGGGCGCGUAGGCGGCUCGUUAAGUGGCUGGUGAAAUCCCGGGGCUCAACUCCGGGGCUGCCGGUCAGACUGGCGGGCUAGAGCACGGUAGAGGCGGAUGGAAUUCCCGGUGUAGCGGUGGAAUGCGUAGAGAUCGGGAAGAAUACCGGUGGCGAAGGCGUUCCGCUGGGCCGUUGCUGACGCUGAGGCGCGACAGCGUGGGGAGCAAACAGGAUUAGAUACCCGGGUAGUCC